UGUUUAAGCAUGUAGGGAGGGUUGCCAGGUAAAUCCGGUGACCCAUUCAAUCCCGAGGUGUGAUGACGAGGUCCUACUGGACCGAAGUAACUGAUGCCACGCUUCCAGGAAAAGCCUCUAAGCUUCAGGUAACACUGGACCGUACCGAAAACCGACACUGGUGGGCGGGUAGGUAAUCUACCAAGGCGCUUGAGAGAACUCGGGUUAAGGAACUCUGCAAAUUGAUACCGUAACUUCGGAAGAAGGUAUGCCUUCGAUGGUGAAAGGACUUGCCCCUCUAGCUGUUGAAGGUCGCAGGUAAUCGGUGGCUGCGACUGUUUAUCAAAAACACAGGACUCUGCGAACACGUAAGUGGAAGUAUAGGGUCUGACGCCUGCCCGGUGCCGGAAGGUUAAUUGAUGGGGUCAGCCGCAAGGCGAAGCUCUUGAUCGAAGCCCCGGUAAACGGCGGCCGUAACAAUAACGGUCCUAAGGUAGCGAAAUUCCUUGUCGGGUAAGUUCCGACCUGCACGAAUGGCGUAACGCUGGCCACACUGUCUCGACCCGAGACUCAGUGAAGUUGAAAUCGCUGUGAAGAUGCGGCGUUCCCGCGGCAAGACGGAAAGACCCCGUGAACCUUUACUACAGCUUUACACUGAACUUUGAAUCUUCUUGUGUAGGAUAGGUGGGAGGCUAUGAAACUUGGGCGCUAGCUCAGGUGGAGCCAACCUUGAAAUACCACCCUGGAAUAUUCGGAGUUCUAACCUUGGCCCAUUAUCUGGGUUGGGGACAGUGUAUGGUGGGUAGUUUGACUGGGGCGGUCUCCUCCCAAAGAGUAACGGAGGAGUGCAAUGGUACGCUCAGCGCGGUCGGUCAUCGCGCUCUAGAGUGCAAAGGCAUAAGCGUGCUUAACUGCGAGACGGACAUGUCGAGCAGGUACGAAAGUAGGUCUUAGUGAUCCGGUGGUUCUGUAUGGAAGGGCCAUCGCUCAACGGAUAAAAGGUACUCCGGGGAUAACAGGCUUAUUCCUCCCAAGAGUCCACAUCGACGGAGGAGUUUGGCACCUCGAUGUCGGCUCAUCACGUCCUGGGGCUGUAGCAGGUCCCAAGGGUAUGGCUGUUCGCCAUUUAAAGUGGUACGCGAGCUGGGUUCAGAACGUCGUGAGACAGUUCGGUCCCUAUCUGCCGUGGGCGUUGGAAACUUGAGGGUGAGCUGUCCUUAGUACGAGAGGACCGGGAUGGACGUAUCUCUGGUGUUCCGGUUGUCACGCCAGUGGCACUGCCGGGUAGCUAUAUACGGACGGGAUAACCGCUGAAAGCAUCUAAGCGGGAAGCCCCCCCCAAGAUUAGGUUUCCCUGGGAACUCGAUUCCCCUGAAGGGCCGUCGCAGACUACGACGUUGAUAGGCUGGGUGUGUAAGCGCAGCAAUGCGUUCAGCUAACCAGUACUAAUUGCCCGUGAGGCUUGACC
rnacentral:rRNA from 1 species